AUUGAACGCUGGCGGCAGGCCUAACACAUGCAAGUCGAGCGGAUGAAGGGAGCUUGCUCCUGGAUUCAGCGGCGGACGGGUGAGUAAUGCCUAGGAAUCUGCCUGGUAGUGGGGGAUAACGUCCGGACACGGGCGCUAAUACCGCAUACGUCCUGAGGGAGAAAGUGGGGGAUCUUCGGACCUCACGCUAUCAGAUGAGCCUAGGUCGGAUUAGCUAGUUGGUGGGGUAAAGGCCUACCAAGGCGACGAUCCGUAACUGGUCUGAGAGGAUGAUCAGUCAAAAUGGAACUGAGACACGGUCCAGACUCAUACGGGAGGCAGCAGUGGGGAAUAUUGAACAAUGGGCGAAAGCCUGAUCCAGCCAUGCCGCGUGAGUGAAGAAGGUCUUAGGAUUGUAAAGCACUUUAAGUUGGGAGGAAGGGCAGUAAGUUAAUACCUUGCUGUUUUGACGUUACCAACAGAAUAAGCACCGGCUAACUUCGUG
rnacentral:rRNA from 1 species